UUUUUUUGGUCAAAGCGGUAUUUCAUUUCAAGUACCUCUAACGUGAAUACAACCUGACAUAUCAAAGGAAACUAAACAAAAUAAGGAGUGUGGGAUGCACUCUAGGCUAGUCCAGAGAAGCUCCCCAGAGUGCCGGGCAACAUAGGAGGCGACCCAGUCUGCUGCACUGUUCGCCUCCCGAUAUACAUGAGAUAUCUGACAUAAGGUCAGCUCCC
rnacentral:lncRNA from 1 species